CCUACGGGAGGCAGCAGUGAGGAAUAUUGGUCAAUGGGCGCGAGCCUGAACCAGCCAAGUCGCGUGAGGGAUGACUGUCCUACGGAUUGUAAACCUCUUUUGUCAGGGAAUAAAGUCAGCCACGGGUGCCUGUAAGUGGGUACCUUGUGAAAAAGGAUCGGCUAACUCCGUGCCAGCAGCCGCGGUAAUACGGAGGGUGCGAGCGUUGUCCGGAUUUAUUGGGUGUAAAGGGAGCGUAGGGGGGUGUUUAAGUUGGUGGUUAAAUGUAGGGGCUUAACGGAGAGCUGCCAUUGAUACUGGUAGUCUUGAGUAAAGUAGAGGCAGGCGGAAUGCGUGGUGUAGCGGUGAAAUGCGUAGAUAUCACGAAGAACUCCGAUUGCGAAGGCAGCCUACUAGACUGCCACUGACGCUGAGGCUCGAAAGCGUGGGGAGCAAACAGGAUUAGAUACCCUUGUAGUC
rnacentral:rRNA from 1 species